rnacentral:misc_RNA from 1 species
GAUGAAGAACGUAGCGAAAUGCGAAAAGUAGUGUGAAUUGCAGAAUUCAGUGAAUCAUCGAAUCUUUGAACGCACAUUGCGCCCAUUAGUAUUCUAGUGGGCAUGCCUGUUCGAGCGUCAUUUCAACCCUUAAGCCUAGCUUAGUAUUGGGAAUCGACUUUACUGUCGUUCCUCAAAUUCAACGGCGGAUUUAUAGCAAUCUCUGAACGUAGUAAUUUUUUUUCUCGUUUUUGAAAUACUAUAAACCUCAGCCGCUAAACCCCCAAUUUCUUAUGGUUGACCUCGGAUCAGGUAGGAAUACCCGCUGAACUUAAGCAUAUCAAUAAGCGGAGGA